UACGAAGGGGGCUAGCGUUGUUCGGAAUUACUGGGCGUAAAGCGUGCGCAGGCGGCUUCUCAAGUCAGGGGUGAAAGCCCAGAGCUCAACUCUGGAAUUGCCUUUGAGACUGAGUGGCUUGAGUACGGGAGAGGUGAGUGGAAUUCCCAGUGUAGAGGUGAAAUUCGUAGAUAUUGGGAAGAACACCGGUGGCGAAGGCGGCUCACUGGCCCGUAACUGACGCUCAUGCACGACAGCGUGGGGAUCAAACAGGG
rnacentral:rRNA from 1 species